rnacentral:rRNA from 1 species
UACUGAGGGUGCAAGCGUUGUCCGGAAUCACUGGGCGUAAAGGGCGCGUAGGCGGCUCAUGAAGGCUGUGGUGAAAGUCCGGGGCUCAACCUCGGAUCGGCCGUGGCGACUCGUGGGCUGGAGCACUGUAGAGGCGGGUGGAAUUCCGGGUGUAGCGGUGGAAUGCGUAGAGAUCCGGAAGAACACCAGUGGCGAAGGCGGCCCGCUGGGCAGUGGCUGACGCUGAGGCGCGAAAGCGUGGGGAGCAAACAGG